UACGGAGGGUGCGAGCGUUAAUCGGAAUUACUGGGCGUAAAGCGUACGCAGGCGGUUUGUUAAGCGAGAUGUGAAAGCCCCGGGCUCAACCUGGGAACUGCAUUUCGAACUGGCAAACUAGAGUGUGAUAGAGGGUGGUAGAAUUUCCUGUGUAGCGGUGAAAUGCGUAGAUAUAGGAAGGAAUACCGAUGGCGAAGGCAGCCCCCUGGGAUAACACUGACGCUCAUGUACGAAAGUGUGGGUAGCGAACAGG
rnacentral:rRNA from 1 species